CCCGAGAAGAUCGAAGAUGUUCGGCUUCGGUCACCACGGCCACCAUGGCCAGAACCCACCGGCCCACGCCCCAACUACCGCCGGCGGCCACCAGCCCACCUUCAAGAUCUUCUGCAAGGCCGACGAGGGUUACUGCCUCUCCGUCCGCGACGGCAACGUCGUCCUCGCCCCCACCAACCCCCGCGACGAGCACCAGCACUGGUUCAAGGACAUGCGCUUCAGCACCAACAUCAAGGACGAGGAGAACAACCCCGCCUUCGCGCUCGUCAACAAGGCCACUGGUCUCGCCGUGAAGCACUCCCUGGGCCAGAGCCACCCGGUUCGGCGUCUUCUCCCCUCUUCCUCAUCCGAACGUAGAUCUGUUCUUCAGUGCUUUGAAAUGGAAGUAGAGUGAUGAUUUUUUUUGGGCGUGCAGGUGAAGCUGGUGCCGUUCAACCCGGAUUUCCAAGAUGAGUCCGUGCUGUGGACGGAGAGCGGCGACGUCGGCAAGGGCUUCCGCUGCAUCCGCAUGGUGAACAACAUCCGCCUCAACUUCGACGCCCUCAACGGCGACAAGGACCACGGCGGUGUGCACGACGGCACCACCGUUGUCCUCUGGGAGUGGGCCAAGGGCGACAACCAGAGCUGGAAGAUCCUCCCCUGGGGCGACGAGGCCUACGCCGGCGGCAGCGCCAACGCGCCCCGCGGCGGCCCCUCUGAGCCCACCGUCCGCAUCUUCUGCAAGGCUGACGAGGGCUUCAGCGCCACCGUCCGCAACGGCACCGUCUGCCUCGCGCCCACCAACCCCCGCGACGACCACCAGCACUGGAUCAAGGACAUGAGGCACAGCAACCGCAUCAAGGACGAGGAAGGCUACCCCGCCUUCGCCCUCGUCAACAAGGUCACUGGC
rnacentral:lncRNA from 1 species